rnacentral:rRNA from 1 species
UACGUAGGGAGCAAGCGUUGUCCGGAAUUACUGGGCGUAAAGGGCGCGUAGGUGGAUGCUUAAGUCAGAUGUGAAAACUCCGGGCUCAACUUGGAGAUUGCAUUUGAAACUGGGUAUCUUGAGGGUAGGAGAGGAAAGUGGAAUUCCUAGUGUAGCGGUGAAAUGCGUAGAUAUUAGGAGGAACACCAGUGGCGAAGGCGACUUUCUGGACUAUACCUGACACUGAGGCGCGAAAGCGUGGGGAGCGAACGGGAUUAGAUACCCCGGUAGUCCACGCCGUAAACGAUGGAUACUAGGUGUAGGGGGUAUCGACCCCCUCUGUGCCGCAGCUAACGCAAUAAGUAUCCCGCCUGGGGACUACGGUCGCAAGACUAAA